AAAAAACGUCCUAAAUGCAGUUAGAAUUUAUUUAGAACUACAAAUUAAAUUUCUUUUAGUAAUAAUUGUUUUUUAAUGUCACAAUUCCAACCCUGCUCCUUUAUCCGGGUUUGGACCGGCAAGAGUGACCCGAAAUUGGCACGACUGCGUUACAGUCAGUGCGGGAGCAGCGGCUUCGCUCUUGCGCGAUUCAUUUGCCGUUUGGAGGCAUAGGUGUGAACGUCUCCUGCCCUGAUAGCAGCUGGGGGAGGACUAUCCUCCGCCUGUGAGCGCUUUGGCACGGGUGAAGUGCCCAUGGCAGCGCCGCUGCUUGUUGAGAAGACUCAAAGACACACAAGACCCAGUAAAAGAGCCUGAGAGGAGUUCAGAAGCGCUCCCAUAAAAGAUGCAGGGACUGCAGAGAAGAUCUCCAUGACUCUGACAGAGAUUUCAGUUUUCAUGAAGAAAUAGGACAUGGAGCUUCAGCUGAGAACAGAGAAAGAGAGGGGAAGAGGCUGCCAUCACAGGGUUACGGUUGCAGAGGAGAAAUGAAGGGCAUGGCUUUUCAAGACUGCUAUGUCUGAAAAUGGUCUCUAUUUAUAAAGGCAAUUUCAGAACACCACAUUUUUGACUGUGGGAUGUUUAUGGACCCGGAAUCCAGAGAGUUAUCAUGGCGUGUGCAAAUUCUUUUACGUAGCCCAGCUUAAAUUGCAUUUAAAGAAAGAAGAAAAAAAAAAAGUAGGCAAUUUCAGAAUACCUGUUAGUUCCCACCAGAGUUAAGAGCACAUCUCUGGGUUAUCAUUAUAACAGACUACCUGAACGUGUCACAUUCCUUUUGUCCUUGCUUUAAUUUUUCUUGGACUGCUGGCACUGGGACCGGGCCAUGGAGAAGCAGAAGAAGAUGGAUGGAAUUUGAGAUCAACACAUUUUUGACUGUGUGAUGUAUUUAUUCUGCAUUAAAAUGGACCAAGCACCUCCAGCUCUCCCUCCUAGGUCAACAAAGGCACCCAUCUUCCACCACAAACAACAGGAAGGCCGACACUAGAAGAAGCCUAACAUGACAAAACAACAUGAUCUGGUACCUUGUGCCUUUUUAGUGACACUAUAUCGGUGUGUAGUAUCACUGCAAAAUAUAUGAGUUUAAGACAAAACUGCUGUCAACGAUGGUGAAACUCUACAUUUUCAUGGUUUAGUUUAUAACAUGCAGUCUGUCCCCUGAAGAAACCAUCCCUUAUGCCAUUUUGUGGCCAAGUUGCUGUCUCUGCCUGCUGUGAAGUGCACACACUGGGAUCCUAUAUUAAUGUAAUUCUAGUCUCAUAAAUCAAAUUCAUGCAGCCUGGAGAUGAAAAGUUAGGCAAUCUGGGAAUGUGUUUGGGAUAUUUUUGCACCAGCAUGUUAUUUCUUUUCUUCUUCUUUUUUUUUAUUCAUGCAUACAGCCAUAUGUCAGCACUCAUGUUUUUGUUUGUUAUUUGGGCCAUACUGCUUGGACCUUCUGGAGCCGGAAAGGUGACUCGUGGCCCUCAGCUCGGAGAGAAAUACUGCAUUUGACACCCAUUUCUAAACUGCUGAACCACUUUUGUGAAGGUGCUGGAUACAGUUUGGCUGUGGCACUCAACUUCACUCAGACCAAAACAGAAAUGCCAAAAAAACAGAGCUCCAUAUCUGCCUUUUUCACAGCUCCUCGGAGAGUUCUCAAUAAGAUGUGCACUUGUGAGCCACCAAACAUGGAUUCAGUGCAGCCUCUUUCAUCAUCAUACCGAAUUUCCCAGAGGAACCCACCCGAGGGAUUAAUAAAGUUUUAUCUUAUCUUAUCUGACUCAGCUACACCGACAGCCACAGCGUCAGGGAAAAAACGAGGGCGGAUUGUUGGUCUUGAAAACUCCGACUUUGAGCCCGUUUUAGUUGACGAGUGUAAAAUUAGAAAUGUGACUGAGAAGGAAACAGAAUUAUGGCAGGCACAUUCAGAAAACCAUUCAACUUUACAAAAUGUAUACUGUGAAUCUGAAGAAGAGAAGCCUGGAAAGUGUGAACCACCACAGAAUAAGAGGAGGGUCUCUGAUGCCACCUUUACACAAGAUGACAGUCAACCUCUACCACAGACGUGGAGUCAGGACCCUGUUCACUUUCAGUCAGUACACUGAAAAUGAGUUUCAUCAGACUAACCACAAAUGUACGACAGUCAAGAACUUCAGCAGCUCUGAGCCAAGUUUCCUAAACAGUCUGCAGUAUGAGGAGGACGAAGUCUUUAGAAAACUGAUAGCUGCAGAAGGACUAACCUCAACUCAAAAAUCUUUAAAACGCCUUCAUUCUUCUCAUAUGAUUAAUGAGAAGGAAAACGGGACGCCACUGUCUUAUAAUUCCCCAGGAAAAAUCUCCUGUUUCUCUCAUUUCAGACCUGUUUCAAAUCAUAAGCAGACACAACCAAAAACCGCUUCAUGUCGGAAACAAACAGGUAAGACUUUUUAAAAAAAAUCUUUUAUCAUGAGGAGCAGAGAAGAUGACAAGAACAGGAAAGACUGAACUAACAGUCUUUUAGUAUACUUUUUAUUACAAACCCUAACGAGCAGUAACUGAUUAUGUGUUGCUCUACACUUGUAGGAUGCAUCUAAAAGGCAUGCGGGGCAGAGGAGAUGAGCAGAAGAGGAAAGAGAUAUGGAGGACAGAUAGCGCCAUCGAUAUGUUGCUCAUCAAUGACCAACAAUUAGCAGAAAUCUGGCAACGGACAGUUUGCAAAAAGACGGCAUUACACCCCAACCCUCCACUGUCCCGGUAACAGCGGAUUACCAUGGAGAGUAAAGUUUUCAGUUGGUAAAGCAAAAAAAAAAAAAAAAAGUCAGAGGGCUGCCUCCUGCCCUGCCCUCUGACAUUUUUACUCUCCAUGGUAAUCCGCUUCUCCCCUCUCCCCCCUCGUCCUCACCUCCUUACCUGUGCCCCUCCCUUUAGGCAGGGAGGGGUCUAAAUUCAUUUCCCUGUUCAUAUUUCAGCCUCCCUUCUCCCCACUCACCCCUCCUCCUCACCUCCUCUCUCGCAAGGAGGAGAUGAUUGCUUUUUGGUGACUGUCUGGCAGUUCUUGUGCCAGGGUCCGGUUAAUAUGCCCAUGUUUGGUCUGUGUUGUAAAGUUUGAGGGCGCAAAUAAAACUCCAUCAAUCUUUUUCAAAGAUUUAAAAGGAAACUUUAAAACUUGAGUGUCUAUGAGGGGACGUGAAUAUUUCAGCCUCCCUUCUCCCCACUCACCCCUCCUCCUCACCUCCUCCUCAUCCCUCCUUCUCUCCCUUCCUUUGUGUGGAGUUUGGUGUGGAGAAAAACAAGUUUUCUCUUGUUGAGAACUUCCACUAAACAGUACCGGGAUAGACACAACACUUAAAAAGUUAACGGCUACGACAACGGGGAAAAAAUGUUUAAAAAGAAGCCUUACGGUGGAUCCGAUUCCUUCCACCCAAAUGUUAUUUAUGUGAAAAUAAAAAUGCCACCGCACACGUUUGCUUGAGGAAUCCAUCAGACCAGACCACCUCCAUUUUGUGAGCCCACAGAACCCUCCCCAUCUGGCUCUCCCCUCCUCACCCCUCCUCCUCUCCCAUCCUCUGUGUGGAGAAAACCAUGUUUCAGAACUGUGGGAUGUUUAUGGACGCGGAAUCCAAAGAGUUGCCUUGGUAUGUGCAAAUACCUUUUACGUAGCCCAUCUUAAAUUACUUUAAAAAAAAAACAAGAAAGAAAGAAAGAAAGAAGGCAAUUUCAGAAUACCUGUCUCCAGCUCUCCCUCCUAGGUCAACAAAGGCACCCAUCUUGCACCAUGAACAACAGGAAGGCCUAACCCAGAAGAAGCCUAAGAUGAAAAAACAACACGAUCUGUUACCUUGUACAGACUGGUGGAGAUCGGAGAUUUGAUCGAGGAGUGGCCAGAGACAAACGAUAGUUUUCUAGAGAGGCCCCUUUGAGAUGGCACCAUCCUGGGAGAAACGGAACCUGGGCCGCCGUCUCCAGCCCGACUCGUUGGACCAGAACCAGGCGGUGGUUAUAGCCAAGCUAGCAGACUGGAAUCCAGCUACCACAUCAGCAGUGACAAACCCAGUAAACAAGAAUGACAGCCACAGAACGACAGGUCUGCACUCCAACGAGAGACCCCAACACACAGAGGAAACUCCAGGACUGGAAUCUUCAUGUGAAGAAAAUAUCGGUGAUCAUCGGUGACUCCAAUGUGCACAGACUCCUCCGUCCUAUAAAGCAGAGGGGUACAGAUCGACAGAUUUCCAUGAGCGAAAUGUUGCCACCCGGUGAGGCCCAGCUGGAGAAAGCACACUGUGGAAAAUCUGGUUUUAUAACUUUGGACUGAAUACCAGUGAUGGAGCUGAAAAUGGGACUAAAGGCAGAGCAGUAAGCAAUCUUUCUAAGGCCCUUCUUUGUGAAGAACAAGCCACAUCGUUGCAUCUGAACAACUUUAUUACAGGUUUAGAUGAACAGAUUCCUGUACUUCCUACUUUGAUAUUCAGCACAGAGAAGGACAACAUUCACUCGACCAGUAGAGCUGCAAUGUGUAUGUUAGAACAGUGGAACCAGUGUGUAAAUGAGGCAUCCCCCAUAAGCCUUGAAAAGUGGGAGGAGAGUAGUGGUGUGAUUCACCUUUCUUAAGUUCCAAUGCUCAGCGGGUCCUUUGGACAGAAAUAAGUUCUUCUUCUUUCAAUUAUUGUUUAUUCUGUUCAUUGUAGAAUCAGCUAGGCUCCAGUGGUCAGGAGAAGCUUCUGCUAUAUGAAGCUGUUACAGUGCUUUUUGUUACAUUGAACGAGAGUAGUUUUUCUUGUUGCUUGUUUGAUCUACUGCCGUUUAAAAGAUUAUAAUUACUGAAGUGAAUGUGUUUUGAGACAGUUUACAGUGCCACUGAAGCUCCACUCAACCAAGUGUGCCUCAACAGUCUGAAAUGAAAAGAUUUUUCUUCCUUUUUUUUAUUUCUCUCCCUCUCAUGCUUCUGUUUGGAUUCCCAUUGGACAAAGCACUUCGGUUUGUGUUAGCAGGCUGAAAACAAUAAUUUUGGAUGUUUCUUUCGGCUCUUGAGGUGCCCUCAUUGAGUGCGGUUUGCCCAGUGUCCUCGAGGGUAUGUGAGGAGCCUUCCAUAGUUGGGUUGUUGUGUUUUUACCCCAGCAGCUAUUCAUCUCCAUCUCAACAGUUCAUGACCAACAUGCCGUGGCUGCCCCCUGUACCUGUCUGAGUACCUUUACCCAGGCAAGUUCAGGACCGUGCACGUCCUCCUGCCUUCAAAAGAGGGGGGAGGAGGAGGUGAAUAGUUCAGCCUUCCUUCUCCCCCCUCACCCUCACCCUUUACCCGUGCCCCUCCCUUUAGGCAGGGAGGGGUCUGAACUUCAUUUCCUUGUUCAUAUUCACGUCCUCCUGCCCUCUAUGAGGGGGCAGAAGGACGUGAAUAUUUCAGCCUCCCUUCUCCCCACUCACCCCUCCUCCUCCUCACCUCCUCUCUUUUACCUCGGCAGCCCAUGACCGGCAUGCCGUGGCUGCCCCCUGUACCUGUUGAGUACCUGUACCCUCAUCCACUGAAGCCUGGACCUCCAGCUGAUUGCAGCCACUUUAGUGCAAGGAGAUGAUUGCGUUUUGUGUGACUGUCUUGCAGUUCACCCUUCCCUUUCUACCCUAACCCAUUUUCCACUCCAGCCUCUACCCCACUCGGUUCAGACCCCUCCUCAGGCAAGGAGGGGUUUCAAUCCCAUUUCCCGCACCCCCAACCUUAACCCACCAUCAAGUCCUGCCCCCUUCUCUCCUCAUACCGCUGCCCACAGUUCAGACCCCUCCUCAGGCCCCUUACUGCUUGAACGGCUCUAACCAAAUUAGGAACAUAGGUUUUUUUUUUUUUUUUCAAAAGCAAAUGUUUUAAAAAAGAAAAGAACAGAAAAACAUAACUGAACACAACAGUAUGUCAGUGUACAGUGACUGAUCAGGCAGUACAGUUUUAGGAACCUUUUUAACUGAGGCAGGAUGGCAUUUUGGUUUUUAAUCAGAAUCUACCCUUCAGCCAGAAUUCAUUUAAAGAGCUGUGGGAACAGCUACCUGUGACUGAAUCUCUGUCAGUUUUGACACUAUCUCAACUGUGAACAGCAGUACAACGGGUCAUGAUGAAACCUGGAGGCCAGAUGACACCAUGGAGAUGUUUCAGAUCAUCAAUGAGCAGCAAUUAGCUGAAAACUUUGAUGAAAAUCUCUGAGCUUCCAAAUGACAUUUUAAAAAAAGACGGCAUUACACCUCCAGCCUCCACUGUUCCAGUUAUGACAGAUUACCCUGGCAAAUGUGGGUUUCAGCUGAGAUUCCAAAAGUCUACCCCACUGUUCAGACCCCUCCUCAGGCAGGGAGGGGUUUCAAUCCCAUUUCCCCCACCCCCAACCAAAUCCUAACCUUAACCCACCAUCCAGUCCUGCCCCCCUUCUCUCCUCAUACCGGUGCCCACAGUUCAGACCCCACCUCAGGCCCCUCCCUGCCUUUUCCAGCCUUAUAAAGAAAGGGAAGGCUGAAGUGGCAGACCGUCGUGCAAAAAACGAGCAUCUCCUCCAUGCACUGCUUACAGUCAAAUGACAAAAUAUGUGAACUCUUUUUAAACAGGAAAAAGGAAGAAAUUGUACACCAGAGGGUGCUGUAUUUAUUAUGUAGCUGUUUUUUGUUUUUUUUGUUUGUUUGUUUGUUGUCUCUUCUGUUUUUUCUCUCCAUACAGGUGAGCCAGGUGUUU